CAGCAUCCGAAGACGAUUCGCGGGACGUGUCCCCGGGCCCCCGCACGGCGCUGUGAGCCGCGGGGUCGUUCGGCUGCCUGCGCACGAAAGCCCCAUAUUCCCCCUGCCUGCCGGUAGCCGCUUUCCCGUAAUUUCCAUUAUCCGAAGCACAUCGCGUGUUCUCGCUGCAGCCACUCCGGGUUCUGGAGAGAGGCUCAUGAGACGUCCAAAUAAGCCCCGGUUAUGGAAUUGGAAACCAUCAUUUCCGUAGGCGUACAGGUACAUAUAUGAAGCCAGCGACGAUUCGAAGCCCAGCAGGAGAAAAACAACGUGCAAAGGCACGAUGGAUAACGCAAAGGAUCGCCGACCUACCGCGGGAGGCCGCCUACAAUUUUAGCCUCUGUCACCACGAGGAUAUACGAGACGAUCUCCUAAACGCUUUCGAUGAGCGCAUGACCUUCAGCGAGGGGCCGUUGCUCGAUUUUCACACCUGCGAGGACGCGUCCGCGGGCCCGCAGCUGUCCGAGGUUCGCCCGGGUGAACGCGGCCCCCGACGGCUACGUGGCAUCCCCAGUCCGUGCGGAGCCGAAAGAUAAAAAUUAAGACACAGAGGGGAGGAGGAGACGGAGGGGUGGGAAGAAAGAUACAGUGCGGAGAAGGGGCAAGGAAGGGGGGAGAGGGAAAAGGAGGGAUAAAAGGGGAGCAGAAAGGAAAGAGAGGGGGGAAAACGGGGUGAGGGAGGCAGGGAGGGGAGGGGGGACAUGAGGAGAAAGAGAAGGGAGGGAUUAAAGUGGGAGAAGAAGGCAGCGGGGAAGGAAGCGAGGAGAGGGAGAGGUGGAGAAGGGGCAAAGAAG
ensembl:lncRNA